CUUAUGUGCUGGGAUGACCUCUGCAGAUCAGCUUCAGUUACUCUCAGGCAGGCCUGUAGCAUCUUCUGUCACACCUGUGUGUCGUCACGCUGUGGCAGACGGUUUACCAGCGCCCUCUGCCGACCACGAAUGCCUUCUACUUCAUU